GGAUACCCGCUGAACUUAAGCAUAUCAAUAAGCGGAGGAAAAGAAACCAACAGGGAUUGCCUCAGUAACGGCGAGUGAAGCGGCAACAGCUCAAAUUUGAAAUCUGGCUCCUUCGGGGUCCGAGUUGUAAUUUGUAGAAGAUGCUUUGAGUGUGGCUCCGGUCUAAGUUCCUUGGAACAGGACGUCAUAGAGGGUGAGAAUCCCGUAUGUGACUGGGUGSCUUCGCUCGUGUAAAGCUCUUUCGACGAGUCGAGUUGUUUGGGAAUGCAGCUCAAAAUGGGUGGUAAAUUUCAUCUAAAGCUAAAUAUUGGCCAGAGACCGAUAGCGCACAAGUAGAGUGAUCGAAAGAUGAAAAGCACUUUGGAAAGAGAGUUAAACAGUACGUGAAAUUGUUGAAAGGGAAGCGCUUGCAACCAGACUUGCGCGCUGUUGAUCAUCCGAGGUUUUCCCCGGUGCACUCGSAGCGCUCAGGCCAGCAUCGGUUUUGGUGGGCGGAUAAAGGCCUUGGGAAUGUAGCUUCUYCGGGGAGUGUUAUAGCCCUCGGUSAAUSGCCCUAUCAGGACCGAGG
rnacentral:rRNA from 1 species